AAGAAGAGAGCGCGAACGCGAACACGUUUUGGGCACGACCCUCACUCAUAUCAGGACGGUGGAUGCAAGAAAGUGGAUUAAACUGUGGAACUUGUGAAGCUCGGAAAAAUAACUACAGUGGAAUUCCCCCGGACGACCCGGACCUGCAGGAGUGCAGCUGGAGGACUCGCUCGGAAGGAGAAUCGCAUUGGUCAGGUUUUUUGAGAUACCCUUGGACUUGGACUGGAUCUGCUUGGAUGACGGAGCCAGAGUGAUGUUGAUGGCGAGCCUGACCCUGGAGGAUCAUUAGAUCUACGACCGCGGAAUUGAAUCCUUUUUUCACUUUUACAUAUAUGCACACACCACCACACACAGUAGUGUGGCGUGACUGAUUCCCACCUGAACGGUGCGCACACAGUAAAGUGAACUGACCAAACAAUAAAAGAGACUCACGCAGCUGCAAAAACAUUUUUUAUUUUAACUUGGUUUAUUUUUCAUACUUACCCGGGUAAGGUUGUUUUGUGUAUUUCCUGUGUUCAUACUGUUUUCCCACUGUAAUAAAUAGGGAAGCAUACUGUUUCUUAAAAAGCCA